GACGCCUGACAAAGACACACUAAACCUUUUUGACAAAUACAGUAUACCUGUCUUAUUGGGUGUCAGAUGCUCUACUGAUCAUUCUAUUGAUCUCUGAGUCCAGACUGGUGUGAAGAAAUUGAGUUUUGAGACAAAUAAAAAUCAAUGCCCAGGUAGGCUCUGCUGAGAUUAUAAAUAGACCACUCACUCUAAUCCUCCUCCUGGCCUCCUCCACUCCCUCGAUGGGUCCGGCAAUUGACACCUGGUGAUUGAAAAAAUAACCUUUUUGUUUUUAUUUGUCAAGGGUACAAUUACUGUCUCGCUAACCUUUGGAUCCUUCAGCAUACCUGGUUGCUUUUCUCUCCUGCAGCAUUGUGUCGGUUGGAGUCAGGGAAAUGGAUGUGGCAGGAAGUGACCUCCAUCACCUUCUUGAUGUUGCCGCCACCUUUGCCGAUCACGUGGGAGUGCUCUGUGUAGGCCACGUCUAUUUUGAGGGUCACUUUGUUUACCUGGGUGUGAGGCCAACAAUGCACUGACCGAGAUGUUGAAAGGAGGCAGUCAGUCAGCUCAGGUCAUGUCUUCUCCAGCCGAGGGGCUCAACAACAAUCUGCAACAAUUCCUCAGUAAUACUCGGUUCAUUGUUCCACAAGUCAAGGUCCGCGAUAAGGAAGCUAGUGGGAAUGUUGCUCCAGGUGGUGAAGAUGACUUCACAGAGGGCAUCCACUGUCUGGAACUGAUGUCCCCCUUGCCAUCCAUCCCCAAAUGUUCUCAAUUGGGUUUGCAUCAGAGGAACACGUAGGAUGGUCCAAAUGAGUGACGUUAUUUGUCUGGAAGAAGUCCUUUAUCAGGCGGACAUUGUGAAGUGCAGCGUUGUCCUGUUGAAAAAGCCAGUCAUUACCACACAGACGAGGGCCUUCAGUCAUGAGGGAUGCCCCCUGCAACAUCUCCGCAUAGCCAUCUGCUGUUUGACGCCCCUGCACAACCUGAAGCUCUAUUUUUCCAUUGAAGGAAAAAAGCACCCCAGAUCAUGACGGUGCCCCCUCCACUGUGCCGUGUGGAAAACAUCUCAGGAGGGAUCUGCUUACGUUGAAAGCCAUCAGGACCGUCAAGGGCACAUUUUUUUUCAUCAAUGAAUAAAAGUUUCUUCCAGAAAAUGACAUUGAAACCACAUUUUUGCCAAGAUUCUGGCUUUCAAAGGCUGUGGUCUUAAACUUUUAAUCAGCUGUAUGUAUUUAGACUUUUGGAGACUGCAGAAGAGAUUUUGCUACUCUGUGUGUCACUUGAAGUAAUUGUGCUAAACAAGUCAUUUUUGUGUGUUAGCAAAUGGAAAAAUCUGUGAUGGACGUCGUAUGAACAUGCCUGCCACCAAACUCGAAAGUAGAGACCAGUUAGAAUGCAAAUUACAUGUGAAAAAAAAAGUAAAAUAUUAUUUUUCAUCAUUUGUUUUUGUGUUUAUAAUCCAACAGAUCCCCCCUUAUUUCUUGUAAAAUUUAAA